rnacentral:rRNA from 1 species
AUUGAACGCUGGCGGCAGGCUUAACACAUGCAAGUCGAGCGAGCGGAGGACUGGUGUGUCAGGUCUGGGAAACUGCCUGGUGGAGGGGGCUAACUACUGGAAACGAUAGCUGAUACCGCAUACCAUAAGGUGUGUACCGAUGGGAUUAGCUAGUGGGUGGGGUAAUGGCUCACCUAGGCGACGAUCCCUAGCUGGUCUGAGAGGAUGACCAGCCACACUGGAACUGAGACACGGCCCAGAUUGGUACGGGAGGCAGCAGUGGGGAAUAUUGCACAAUGGGCGCAAGACUGAUACAGAAAUGGCGCGUGUGUGAAGAAGGCCUUCGGGUUGUAAAGCACUUGCAGCGAGGAGGCGUUACCCGCAGAAGAAGCACCGGCUAACUCCGUGCCAGCAGCCGCGGUAAUUC